GACGAACGCUGGCGGCGUGCUUAACACAUGCAAGUCGAACGGAAAGGCCCUGCUUUUGUGGGGUGCUCGAGUGGCGAACGGGUGAGUAACACGUGAGUAUCCUGCCCUUGACUUUGGGAUAACUUCAGGCAACUGGGGAUAAUACCGGAUAGGAGCUCCUGCUGCAUGGUGGGGGUUGGAAAGUUUCGGCGGUGGGGGAUGGACUCGCGGCUUAUCAGCUUGUGGGUGGGGUAGUGGCUUACCAAGUCAUCGACGGGUAGCCGGCCUGAGAGGGUGACCGGCCACAUGGGGACUGCGAGACGGACCAGACUCCUACGGGAGGCAGCAGUGGGGAAUAUUGUACAAUGGGCGGAAGCCUGAUGCAGCAGCGCCGCGUGCGGGAUGACGGCCUUCGGGUUGUAAACCGCUGUCGCCUGUGACGAAGCGGGAGUGACGGUAAUGGGUAAAGAAGCACCGGCUAACUACGUG
rnacentral:rRNA from 1 species